GAUGAACGCUGGCGGCGUGCCUAAUACAUGCAAGUCGAGCGAACGGACGAGAAGCUUGCUUCUCUGAUGUUAGCGGCGGACGGGUGAGUAACACGUGGAUAACCUACCUAUAAGACUGGGAUAACUUCGGGAAACCGGAGCUAAUACCGGAUAAUAUUUUGAACCGCAUGGUUCAAAAGUUAAAGACGGUCUUGCUGUCACUUAUAGAUGGAUCCGCGCUGCAUUAGCUAGUUGGUAAGGUAACGGCUUACCAAGGCAACGAUGCAUAGCCGACCUGAGAGGGUGAUCGGCCACAAUGGAACUGAGACACGGUCCAGACUCCUACGGGAGGCAGCAGUAGGGAAUCUUCCGCAAUGGGCGAAAGCCUGACGGAGCAACGCCGCGUGAGUGAUGAAGGUCUUCGGAUCGUAAAACUCUGUUAUUAGGGAAGAACAUAUGUGUAAGUAACUGUGCACAUCUUGACGGUACCUAAUCAGAAAGCCACGGCUAACUACGUG
rnacentral:rRNA from 1 species